CCCGGGGGGAACCAUGGGACGGAACCAGCUACCUGAUGUUUCGAUUAGUCUUUCGCCCCUAUACCCAGGUCAGACGACCGAUUUGCACGUCAGGACCGCUGCGGGCCUCCACCAGAG